rnacentral:ribozyme from 1 species
UACUCUUCUUCUCUUUUUCUUUUCUUUUCCUUCUUAUUUUUUCUGAUU